rnacentral:miRNA from 1 species
AAUUGGGGGGGGGGGCAUAUUCAUAUAUUCGUGUUCUGCUUUAUUAAUUUCUUUUGAAAUCAAUUGUUUUUAUGGUAUGUGAACACGAAUAUAUGAAUAUGCCCCCCCCCCCAAA